GGUUGCUCAACGCAGGGGCAGGGAUUCUCGGGGCGUUGAAUUGGCUCUUGGUAACGUCAUCGUGGUGGUUUGGUCGCUUGGAUGGCACUUAGAUGUGUCAGGACGCGUAAAUUGCAUGGUGUAGGGUGCUUUGAGUAUUUGGUUCUAAGCAGUUGGGUAUCCCAGGCUUUUAGCAGGUCACCUGGGUCUGAGUAAGCGUUUUGUUUCGCAGCCGAAACGUUUUCCUUGACUUGAUUUAUCAGUAUUGAGAGCAAACACGAGGUCACGAUCCUAGGAGGACUCAACGAAUUUGUUGUGAAGUUUUACGGACCACAAGGAACACCGUAUGAAGGUGGAGUAUGGAAAGUUAGAGUCGACCUUCCUGAUAAAUACCCUUUCAAAUCCCCGUCUAUAGGAUUCAUGAAUAAAAUUUUCCAUCCUAACAUCGAUGAAGCGUCAGGAACUGUAUGUCUAGAUGUAA